CUAGUACUCCCUCCGUCCGGAAAUACUUGUCAUCAAAAUGGAUAAAAGAGGAUGUAUCUAGAUGUAUUUUAGUUUUAAAUACAUCUCUUUUUAUCCAUUUUGAUGACAAGUAUUUUCGGACGGAGGGAGUACUAG
rnacentral:pre_miRNA from 1 species